rnacentral:rRNA from 1 species
AGAGUUUGAUCCUGGCUCAGGAUGAACGCUAGCGGCAGGCCUAAUACAUGCAAGUCGAGCGGCAAGUCGAGGAGUAAUCUAAGACCUAGAGCGGCGCACGGGUGCGUAACGCGUAUGCAACCUACCUUAUACUGAGGGAUAGCCCGGAGAAAUCUGGAUUAAUACCUCAUGGCACAUAUUGAGGGCAUCUGAGAUAUGUUAAAGAUUUAUUGGUAUAAGAUGGGCAUGCGUCUGAUUAGCUAGUUGGCGGUGUAACGGACCACCAAGGCGACGAUCAGUAGGGGUUCUGAGAGGAAGGUCCCCCACACUGGCACUGAGAUACGGGCCAGACUCCUACGGGAGGCAGCAGUAGGGAAUAUUGGGCAAUGGUCGGAAGACUGACCCAGCCAUGCCGCGUGCAGGAAGACGGCCCUCUGGGUUGUAAACUGCUUUUAUCUGGGAAGAAAAAGGCCAUGCGUGGCAAAUUG